rnacentral:rRNA from 1 species
AUGACAUCGAUAUUUGAAUUGUUUUCUACUCAAAUUCAAGCCCAUGCACGCAGGGGCGGAGCAGUUUUUUCAGAAACAUUGGGAUAUUUGUGGAGAAGCAGUCACCAAGGUGGUGUUGAGAAUUGUUCAAGGAGUGGAGAGUGCGCUGGAAAUAAACAACACCGUUUUGGUUUUGAUCGCAAAGGUAAAAACCCAACACUUCUAACCCAAUUUCGUCCAAUAAGCCUAUGCAAUGUACUUUAUAAAAUAGCAUCGAAGGUGGUAGCAAAUGGUCUGAAGGUUGUGCUACCUGAUAUUAUCUCGAAGGAUGUAUGCCACCAUCUUCAAGUCCUCUCGAGGGUGCCUCCUUGGGUUCCUGCCUGCUACCCAGACGAGGCACGCAGGAGGAGCUGCUGCAAACCUCCAUGCCCAGGUGCUGCUCCUGGACCAUUGUACGUGUAUGUGUUUCUUCGCCAGCGUGUUCUGCUUGCUGCCCGUCCUCUUUGUCACCGGCGCAGCCACCGGCCGGAUAGGCAAGGGUACGUGUGUGUGUGUGCGAGGGCGCCCGCGAUGGCCACGGCCUCGCGUCUUGACGUGUGUUGCCACCAUAGCGGCGAGCGCAUCACUCCUUUGGCCUCCGUGAUCUCCUUGCCGCACGUGUUGCGUCGUGGUUGCCCUUCAACCCCUCAAUGCGCAUCGCUCAUCUGCAUGUCGAAGCUGCCGCCAUCGGGCGCGUCUUCUCUUCGUGCGUACCUCCUUCCCGCUGCUGCGUCCUGCGUACGUGAGCUCCGCCCCUCCCUGAACCCUGGAAAAACAAUGACAAAGAAAACACAUGUACUAGGAGGAAGAGGGUGA